UACGGAGGGUGCGAGCGUUGUCCGGAAUCAUUGGGCGUAAAGGGCGCGUAGGUGGCCCGGUCAGUUCGUGGUGAAAGCCCCGGGCUCAACCUGGGAAUGGCAGUGGAUACUGGCAAGCUAGAGUGCGGUAGAGGGUAGUGGAAUUCCCGGUGUAGCGGUGAAAUGCGUAGAGAUCGGGAGGAACACCAGUGGCGAAGGCGGCUACCUGGACCAGCACUGACACUCAGGCACGAAAGCGUGGGGAGCAAACAGG
rnacentral:rRNA from 1 species